UCUCCGUUGGUGAACCAGCGGAGGGAUCAUUACAGACUUGCAAAACUCCCAAACCUUUGUGAACGUUACCUACCCCGUUGCUUCGGCGGGCGGCCCGGGUCCCGCGCCCCGCGGCCCCCGGCGCCCCGUGGGCGCCCGCCGGAGGUACACCAAACCCUUGAAUUGCAUGGCCUCUCUGAGUCUUCUGUACUGAAUAAAUCAAAACUUUCAACAACGGAUCUCUUGGUUCUG
rnacentral:misc_RNA from 1 species